ACUAACUGGAGGACCGAACCGACUAAUGUUGAAAAAUUAGCGGAUGACUUGUGGCUGGGGGUGAAAGGCCAAUCAAACCGGGAGAUAGCUGGUUCUCCCCGAAAGCUAUUUAGGUAGCGCCUCGUGAAUUCAUCUCCGGGGGUAGAGCACUGUUUCGGCAAGGGGGUCAUCCCGACUUACCAACCCGAUGCAAACUGCGAAUACCGGAGAAUGUUAUCACGGGAGACACACGGCGGGUGCUAACGUCCGUCGUGAAGAGGGAAACAACCCAGACCGCCAGCUAAGGUCCCAAAGUCAUGGUUAAGUGGGAAACGAUGUGGGAAGGCCCAGACAGCCAGGAUGUUGGCUUAGAAGCAGCCAUCAUUUAAAGAAAGCGUAAUAGCUCACUGGUCGAGUCGGCCUGCGCGGAAGAUGUAACGGGGCUAAACCAUGCA
rnacentral:rRNA from 1 species